GACGAACGCUGGCGGCGUGCUUAACACAUGCAAGUCGAACGAUUAAGCACCAACUUGCUGGUGUGGAUUAGUGGCACACGGGUGAGUGACACGUGAGUACCCUGCCCCUCACCCUGGGAUAACCCUGUGAACCUGGGUAUAAUACUCGAAACGACCGUACUCCGCAUUUUCUGUUGGAGGGAGGGUGGUGAGGUGGGGGAUGGACUCGCGGGCUGCCAGCUGGUUGUUGGGGGAAUGGCGUACCACGGCGACGACGGGUGGCCGGCCUGAGAGGGCGACCGGCCAACCUGGGACUGAGAUACGGCAGGGACUCCUACGGGAGGCAGAGGUGGGGGAGAUUGCACGAUGGGCGAACGCCGGAUGCAGGGGGGCGGCGUGCGGGAUGAAGGCCUUCGGGGUUUAGACAUCAGUCACCAGGGAGGAAGCUAACGUGACGGUACCUGGCGAAGAAGCCCCGGCUAACUACGUG
rnacentral:rRNA from 1 species